ACCGAACACCAUGAACCAUACCCAAGUUCAUGACUCAAGUCUCAUGUUCAUAAACCAUAAACCAAACCUCAUGAACCAUACCCAAGUUCAUAAACCAUGAACCAAACCUCAUGAGCCAUACACCAAGUUCAUGAACUAUAAACCAAACCCCAUAAACCAUGGACCAAAUUCAUGAACCCAAUCCCAUAAACCAUACCCAAGUUCAUGAACUAAAUAUCAUGAACCAUACAUCAAACCCUAUGAGUUAUAAACCUCAUGAACUAUACACCACAUCCCAUGAACCAAAUUUCAUAUGCCAAACUUUAUGAACCAUACCCAAGUUCAUGAACCAAACCAAAUUCUAUGAGCCAUACACCAAACCAUGUCCAAAUCUCAUGAACUCUACCCAAAUCUCAUGAACCAUAAGCCAUACCCAAGUUCAUGAACCAAACCCCAUAAACCAUACCCAAGUUCAUGAACCAAACAAACCUAACCCCAUGAACCAUGAACCAAGUUCAUGAACCAAAUCUCAUGAACCAUACACCAAUUCCAUACAUGAACCAAACAAACCUAACCCCAUGAACCAUAAACCAAGUUCAUGAACCAAAUCCCAUGAACCAUACACCAAUUCCAUACAUUAACCAAACAAACCAAACCCCAUAAACAAUACACCAUGUUCAUGAACCAUAAACUAAAUCUCAUGAACCAUGAACCAAAUCCCAUAUACCAAAUCCUAUACACCAAAUCUCAUGAACCAUACAUCAAGCUCAUGCCCAAAGUUCAUCAUAAACUUUUUCUUUACUCUAGCUCAUAUACU
rnacentral:lncRNA from 1 species